UACGGGGGGAGCAAGCGUUGUUCGGAUUUACUGGGCGUAAAGGGCGCGUAGGCGGCGUGACAAGUCACUUGUGAAAUCUCCGGGCUUAACCCGGAGCGGCCAAGUGAUACUGUCGUGCUAGAGUGCGGAAGGGGCUACUGGAAUUCUCGGUGUAGCGGUGAAAUGCGUAGAUAUCGAGAGGAACACCUGCGGCGAAGGCGGGUUGCUGGGCUGACACUGACGCUGAGGCGCGAAAGCUAGGGGAGCGAACGGG
rnacentral:rRNA from 1 species